GAUUUAUCGGUGAAAGAUGGAUCCGCGUCUGAUUAGCCAGUUGGCGGGGUAACGGCCCACCAAAGCGACGAUCAGUAGCCGGCCUGAGAGGGCGGACGGCCACAUUGGGACUGAGACACGGCCCAGACUCCUACGGGAGGCAGCAGUGGGGGAUAUUGCACAAUGGGCGCAAGCCUAAGGCAGCGACGCCGCGUGAGUGAAGAAGUAUUUCGGUAAGAGAGCUCUAUCAGCAGGGAAGAAAGGCCCUUAAGGGAG
rnacentral:rRNA from 1 species